GGCCCGGUGGGGGAGCGGCCACCCGACGGCGAUGCAACGCCGGCCAGCCCCGGUUCGACCCCGGGGCCGGGCCU
rnacentral:tRNA from 1 species